rnacentral:lncRNA from 1 species
AACUCCAUUCCCCAACCUACUCUUCUCAUCGCCACUUGAAUUCAUCUUUCAUGUAAACCUUAUAAUCUCUGCAAAUUAAAAAAAGAAAAAAAGUAUCCCUAUUUAAUAUUUCGGGUUCGUAUCAAAAACCCAAAACUUGAACUAAUGAUCUACCAAAAAUUCACACCCGGAGAUCAUUGAUUCGAUUCACUACAUUUUUCGGGUUAGAUCAGUCCAAAAUUCGAGAAAAAUUCAACAGUUGUACUGAAUAUAAAGGAAAGAAAUUGGGUUUCGAAAGGAUAACUUCCCCAGCAAGACUAUUUCUGGGCAAUUACAGCAACUGGAAGAGGUAAAAAGAGAAACUUUUAAACGACUCGGAGGUGGAUUUUUUUCUAGCUCUGCUCUGUGGUUAAAGUCGUACGAUAUUAUGCAAAAUGGAAACAAAAAAUUUGGAAAUCAAGGGCAGUGUAAUUGAUAUUUAAAAAUGCGGAAGUGAAGAGGGCAAGAGCAGAGCAGAGCAGAGAAACGGAGAUCAAACCAUUAUUUGCCAAAGCAAAAGAGAUUGAGGUAAAGAAAGCUCUCCAUGUUCGCUCAUUCACGAGAAGAAAAAUUUAUGGAAGAAGUCAUCAAUCAAAACAUACCCGUUGAGUUUGAUCAUGCAAUGCCUGUGACUGUGAGCUCUCAGGCCAGCUGCUUUGUGAAAAUUAUACAAGCUUUCUUAAGGUAAGUGUUUUAGCCUUCCAGUUCUAGGCCCUAGUAUAAGAAAAUUAUAUUUUUUCCGGUCCU